GAUGAACGCUGGCGGCGUGCCUAACACAUGCAAGUCGAGCGAUUUACUUCGGUAAAGAGCGGCGGACGGGUGAGUAACGCGUGGGUAACCUGCCCUGUACACACGGAUAACAUACCGAAAGGUAUGCUAAUACGAGAUAAUAUACUUUUAUCGCAUGGUAGAAGUAUCAAAGCUUUUGCGGUACAGGAUGGACCCGCGUCUGAUUAGCUAGUUGGUAAGGUAACGGCUUACCAAGGCGACGAUCAGUGGCCGACCUGAGAGGGUGAUCGGCCACAUUGGAACUGAGACACGGUCCAAACUCCUACGGGAGGCAGCAGUGGGGAAUAUUGCACAAUGGGCGAAAGCCUGAUGCAGCAACGCCGCGUGGGCGAUGAAGGCCUUCGGGUCGUAAAGCUCUGUCCUCAAGGAAGAUAAUGACGGUACUUGAGGAGGAAGCCCCGGCUAACUACGUGCCAGCCGCCGCCGUAA
rnacentral:rRNA from 1 species